AUGUGGGAAACCACGAUGCGGGAAACCCAAGUGCCAGCACUAUGUGUUGGCUGUCCUCAAGUGUUCGUAACUUGGGAAGAAAGUGCUGGGUAAGACGGGUGCCAGCCGCCGCGGUAAUACCCGCAGCACAAGUGGUGGUCAUUAUUAUUGGGCCUAAAGCGUCCGUAGCUGGCGUGUUAGAUGCCUGGGUAAAUCGAAGCGCUCAACGCUUCGAAUUCCGGGUAGACCGGCACGCUCGAGACCGGGAGAGGCAUGGGGUACUCGGGGGGUAGGGGUAAAAUCCUGUAAUCCUCCGGGGACGACCAGUGGCGAAGGCGCCAUGCUAGAACGGCUCUGACAGUGAGGGACGAAGCCCUGGGGCGCAAACCGGAUUAGAUACCCGUGUAGUCC
rnacentral:rRNA from 1 species